GCCACGUGAUUCAGGUAGAAGUCAGUUAGAAACAAUUGCAUUAUUUUUAAUGAAACAAAAUCGAUGUCUCCAUUUCUUAAUAAUGUCAUAGGAUACUUAUGGAGAAUUCAAUUGCGUCACGUUUCGUUGGCAACUCAGGGCACCUCCUUCUCCACGUUUGAACGAUCAGGGUAUAAAUGAUCAGUCCUGUGAAUGGCGGCACAUGUACCUUUCUUCUCUAUGAGCAGUCUGUCAUGUAUUAUAUAUGGAAACUAAAUAAAAAUAGCCUCGACUGGUAUAUUCGUGACAUUCUUAUCAGAAAGGAAUGUCUGGAGAGGCAGUCGGGGAAAGAUAAUGUAAAAAUGGUAUAAGGAAAGUGGAAAAAAGUAUAAAAGUGAAGCACGUGGAAGGCGUAGGUAAUCCAACGGACAGUCACAAUCUAGAUCUAGAAAAUGGCUGAAAAAUCCGCAAUUGCAUUUUUUUCGUUGACCAGAAGCCAUAAGCCACGAGAGCUACAAGAGUGGCUCGACCACAGAAUUUCGAUAGGUACUUACCUACGACCUGGGUACGAGGUUCGAGAAAGAGUUGGAAACUCGAGGAAAAUUGUUCGCUGGUUGCAAAAGAAGGAGCUAAGGAGGUGUAUAGGACAAGUAUAUACAUAGACAGGUAGCCAAGCAUCCUCACCGAAAGUUGAGCACGAUAAAGAUCAGAGUUUGUAAAAAUCGGGUGACGAAGUUCGACAUAUAACUGGAAAUGGAAAAUGGGUGUCAAUGAAAAGAGGACUAGUUACUGAAUCCGCAGAAUUCUGAUUGGUCUAAUAUGGAAGAAGUCAAAGUUUCCCAGGAAAUAUUUUCAGUCUGGCUGCAUAUGCCGAAUAAGGGAGGAAUGUUCGUUGGAAGACGUGCGCGUCCAGGUCACUACAGUAGACAGUACGUAUCAUCGGUAUUAACGUGACGUUAACGAGAGUGCAGUGUAACGUAACGGGAAAAACCAAAGCUCGUAAAACUGAGAAUGAAAAACCAUAACUACCUGGCGAUUGGUUUGGCGAUCCAUGAGGUGCCUGCGUGAAAUCAUAAACUCACGUCCUCAGCAAUGUCAUCGUGCGGCGUUUGGUUACUGCUUGUAAAAUUUUAAAGUGACAGAUGGACGGAGAAAUAAAAAGUAGACAUCAUCACGGGUAAUAGUAAUAGUACCUAACCUAUCUGACCUAACUUAUAAAUACAUAGUAUGAUAAGGUUAUAUGAUUUAAUCAAAUUUCCAUCAUUUGCCUAUCAUGCUCUAAUCUUUUAUUUGGGGUUCAAGGAAGAACUUUGAAGACCGUGUGCGCGAUUUUUGAACGAUGAUCGAUCAAUUGCGAUUGAUGCUCAAAAUUAAACAUCCUGGGGAUACGUAAGUAUCCUUGGUCCUUUGAUGGUAAUCACUAAUCAGGGCAGCGGGAACGUGUCUACAUAGCUGAUUAGCCGCAAGGUUAAUUGUAAGAUCAGAGAGCGUACAUUGCAUUGUAUGGUUUUGAGGUAGGUCAAUAGAGUAACAUACGUUGUCGUCUUGUUAAUCGAUACAGUGCACACCGAGGGAUAUAUUUGCAACAGUGACUAUGCAAUUAUGUAGAACGAUUGACAGAAAAUGGAUGAUCAGGGUUCUUGUAUGACGCAUCAGGACUUUUGUUAAUCAUGGGCGUGGAUCAGGACGUUAUCUAGAACGGAAAUUAAUGCGAGUGUGAAUUUGACUCAGGUUAUACCGGAUGCCGGAGAUAUCUAGAACCUAGGGGAGUUUGUUCUUAGGCUUCCCAUUGGCACUCUUGAUGGCGACUCGAUUGUCUCUAGCUUGUCGCAAUUCGGCCAAUGAAUGAAGCUUCCCUUUUACGUGUAAACUCAGUCGCGCUUCGUUCACACCAUAGUAUCUUCUCUGUCGCUCGCACGACCUGAGGUACGUGAAUAAUCCUGCACAACUCUCCUCUCUUACCUUUACUACACGGCGUCAACAAGCUGGACACCAUUAAUGAAGCUUAUCCGAAUUCAAGAUUACAUUUUCUUUUAAAAUUUAUAUAUAUCACAAUGUAUUUACAUUUUAUAUCUCUAACAAUACAGAUCCGAGUGCUUAGAACUUCUUUGAUAUAUCCCGUUGAGCAGCGAAAAAUUGUGGUGUCUGUUGAACGAAUCCGUGCUCCACGCGUCUCGUCAGUUCACGUGUUGUCUUUUCGUUAAUUUAAGUUACAUACUUUCUGUUUUUGCGUUCUCUCGAAUCUUGUGGAACUUUUGUAGUAAUUAUCUUUUCUGUUGCGAAUAUUGUUAACGUGUCGUGAAGAGUAUCUUGUCUCGCAUGAUAUUUAUUUUGAA